GUCCUCCUGGUGGGGCAGGAGACACUUGAGAUCUCCAAGUGUUCACCUGGCCUCAAGCCGCGCCUUUCAUUUUGGAAAACCAGCAAAAGAAAACACCGCCGGCACGCUUCAAACAAAAACCCAUCCCCUGGCCCUCAGCCAGAAGAACUCAACCGUCGUCAAGGAUGAAUUUUUCCUGAGUGAAUACAUACAUGUGAGCGCCGUGGAGAUCGGAACAUGAAGCCUUCUCAUCUCUCCACGCCCUGCGAUCUGGAGUCUCCCGCGUACAAGCAGGGACGUGAAGUCAGUGUCGGGACGAUGGGGUUCAGGGAUAAAGUUGAGUCACCCAUCCAGGGGAGUGGCUGUUAUGGAGAAUCAGAAGUCUGCCCUCCUCAUGGCCAUAUAUAACAGUCUGGUCUUCAAUGAUAACACAAGAGGCAGACAGGAUGAAGGUAUUGGAUGAUCUGAAACACUCAAAUUCUUCUAAAGCAUCAGAGAAAUAAACAGGACUCCAGUGUCGUGCAAGGAGACACAAACAUGGACUGAUACGUUUCCAAGCCCUUUGCAGGCCAUGGUCCUGGACUCUUGCCCCAUAACCCUGCUGACCCUGCCCACCUGAGGGGAUGCAGAGGCAAGGAAACAGUUGUUCCACCCAGAGAGGAAAAGCAAAUGUGCUGGCCUACAGGUCUGUUACUUUUAUAACCAGAAAGAACUUUCUCAGAACAAAUUCCCAAAGACAAAUGCACCCGAUGUUCACUGGAGCACUGUUUACAACAGCCAAGACAUGGAAGCCACCAAAUGAUGCAUUGACUGA